GUGCUCACUUUGGUAGCACAUAUACUAAAAUUGGAACAAUACAGAGAUUAGCAUGGCCCCUACAAAAGGAUGACACCCAAAUUCAUGAAGUGUUCCAUAUUUUA
ensembl:snRNA U6 U6 spliceosomal RNA